UCGCUCUUGGAGCAGGCUUAGGCAUUUGGGGCGUUAUCAAUCUUCUGGAGGGAUAUGGUAACGACAAUCCGGGUGCGAAAUCCCAGGGCAUGAA
rnacentral:tRNA from 1 species